rnacentral:rRNA from 1 species
CGUUCAUGCUCGAAAGCGUGGGUAGCAAACAGGAUUAGAUACCCUGGUAGUCCACGCCCUAAACGAUGUCGAUUAGCUGUUGGGCAGCUUGACUGCUUAGUAGCGUAGCUAACGCGUGAAAUCGACCGCCUGGGGAGUACGGUCGCAAGAUUAAAACUCAAAGGAAUUGACGGGGACCCGCACAAGCGGUGGAUGAUGUGGAUUAAUUCGAUGCAACGCGAAGAACCUUACCUGGUCUUGACAUGUACGGAACCUUCCAGAGACGGAAGGGUGCCUUCGGGAGCCGUAACACAGGUGCUGCAUGGCUGUCGUCAGCUCGUGUCGUGAGAUGUUGGGUUAAGUCCCGCAACGAGCGCAACCCUUGUCAUUAGUUGCCAUCAUUCAGUUGGGCACUCUAAUGAGACUGCCGGUGACAAACCGGAGGAAGGUGGGGAUGACGUCAAGUCCUCAUGGCCCUUAUGACCAGGGCUUCACACGUCAUACAAUGGUCGGUACAAAGGGUAGCCAAGCCGCGAGGCGGAGCCAAUCUCAUAAAACCGAUCGUAGUCCGGAUUGCACUCUGCAACUCGAGUGCAUGAAGUCGGAAUCGCUAGUAAUCGCAGGUCAGCAUACUGCGGUGAAUACGUUCCCGGGUCUUGUACACACCGCCCGUCACACCAUGGGAGUGGGGGAUACCAGAAGUAGGUAGG